rnacentral:rRNA from 1 species
AUGAACGCUGGCGGCGUGCCUAAUACAUGCAAGUCGAGCGAACGGACGAGAAGCUUGCUUCUCUGAUGUUAGCGGCGGACGGGUGAGUAACACGUGGAUAACCUACCUAUAAGACUGGGAUAACUUCGGGAAACCGGAGCUAAUACCGGAUAAUAUUUUGAACCGCAUGGUUCAAAAGUGAAAGACGGUCUUGCUGUCACUUAUAGAUGGAUCCGCGCUGCAUUAGCUAGUUGGUAAGGUAACGGCUUACCAAGGCAACGAUGCAUAGCCGACCUGAGAGGGUGAUCGGCCACACUGGAACUGAGGCACGGUCCAGACUCCUACGGGAGGCAGCAGUAGGGAAUCUUCCGCAAUGGGCGAAAGCCUGACGGAGCAACGCCGCGUGAGUGAUGAAGGUCUUCGGAUCGUAAAACUCUGUUAUUAGGGAAGAACAUAUGUGUAAGUAACUGUGCACAUUUUGACGGUACCUAAUCAGAAAGCCACGGCUAACUACGUG